UACGGAGGGGGCUAGCGUUGUUCGGAAUUACUGGGCGUAAAGCGUACGUAGGCGGCUUUGUAAGUUAGAGGUGAAAGCCCGGGGCUCAACUCCGGAAUUGCCUUUAAGACUGCAUCGCUCGAAUCAUGGAGAGGUGAGUGGAAUUCCGAGUGUAGAGGUGAAAUUCGUAGAUAUCGUAAGGAAGACCAGUGGCGAAGGCGACUUACUGGACACAUAUUGACGCUGAGGUGCGAAAGCGUGGAGAGCAAACAGG
rnacentral:rRNA from 1 species